UGACUAAAUAAUUUAAGGAAAAUAAUACUCUAUGCAAGAAUUUACAAUUUAACAUUUUUUUAAACUUCAAUAAAGCCACCGAUAUUCUGGCUUCCACAACAUUAUGACUUUUGAUGCUUGCCUUUGAAUAGUCUUAACAUUUACAGUUAACAAAUAGGUCUAGUAAGCAUCUGUGAUGCACAGUCUUGGAGGGUUUAGUACACAUAAUCUUCAUGCAAAACACAAACAUGUAUCUUGGAAAGGUAUCUGACAACAGGUGUACAGACUGGGCAAUUGUUACUGAACAAGCUGAAUACAGAGACUGGCUUGCAGUCUGUAAUGAACACCAAAUAAAAAAUAAAUGGAGAAAACAAAAACAAUAAAUCGUGGAUUUCUGCAAAAGCAUCAGUGAUGGGAAUGGGACUCCUUAAUAAUCUGUUUAUGACCGUGCCCAAGUGCAGCUAACAUGGACCUGAAGCUGUGUUUCCGUGGACGCAAUGGCUUGCUCUUCCUGGUGAUCUUCAAAUCUGCACUGAAGAGAUCCGUUGGCGUUCUAAACACAUCCAAAUCCUCACACGGAAGUUCAUCUUGCCUUCUGGGACAAUGUCCGUUCUUCACUUCGAAAUCUGCUGGGCCUUCAUGUAAUUUUCCUCCUGCACUCUUAUUUACGAGGUAGUGCUGAGAUCCACUGGUGAAAGAUGCUCCGGUGUAUCGUCUUUCUCUGAGGACUUCCUUCUCUUGCUCCUCUGAUAAUUUCCACUGCGCAGACAAAUAGUGGAUUUUGCUCGAUUUCUCUGCUGAUUUCUCGACUUCGCUUUGCUUUUAGAUGGCUUUCCAAACAUCGUUUUGCAGCGACGCAAGUUCCUAGAAGUAAAAACAAAACAAAACGACUAACUGUUAUAUCAAUUUCAAUGGAAACACUCUCAUAAACUGUCAUCCAUUAGAACAUUAUUAGUAUUAGUAUUGUUGUUAUGACCUGCACCUUAACAUUGAUAGGAACUAAUGAGGUCUUAUGGGUCAUCUACUGUUUUCUCAUCCAUAUGGUGCAUACAGUCAUGACCCAGACUCAGUUAUUACAGGAUAAAUAGUAUCAUUUUAUAGUUGUAUAGGAGUUGAUACCGUCUCAAUCAUUACGCUAAUGACUUUAAAGAACUGUAAACUUGCAUUCCAUCGCAUACUAAACAGAAUUACAAAGAAG
ensembl:lncRNA